rnacentral:rRNA from 1 species
UACAGAGGUCCCAAGCGUUGUUCGGAUUCACUGGGCGUAAAGGGUGCGUAGGUGGCCGGGUAAGUCUGACGUGAAAUCUCCGAGCCUAACUCGGAAACUGCGUCGGAUACUAUCCGGCUUGAGGGUUGGAGGGGGGACUGGAAUACUUGGUGUAGCAGUGAAAUGCGUAGAUAUCAAGUGGAACACCAGUGGCGAAGGCGAGUCCCUGGACAACUCCUGACACUGAGGCACGAAAGCUAGGGGAGCAAACAGG